AGUCGAGCGAAGCACCUUGACGGAUUUCUUCGGAUUGAAGCCUUGGUGACUGAGCGGCGGACGGGUGAGUAACGCGUGGGUAACCUGCCUCAUACAGGGGGAUAACAGUUGGAAACGGCUGCUAAUACCGCAUAAGCGCACAGUACCGCAUGGUACGGUGUGAAAAACUCCGGUGGUAUGAGAUGGACCCGCGUCUGAUUAGGUAGUUGGUGGGGUAACGGCCUACCAAGCCGACGAUCAGUAGCCGACCUGAGAGGGUGACCGGCCACAUUGGGACUGAGACACGGCCCAAACUCCUACGGGAGGCAGCAGUGGGGAAUAUUGCACAAUGGGGGAAACCCUGAUGCAGCGACGCCGCGUGAGCGAUGAAGUAUUUCGGUAUGUAAAGCUCUAUCAGCAGGGAAGAAAAUGACGGUACCUGACUAAGAAGCCCCGGCUAACUACGUGCCAGCAGCCGCGGUAAUACGUAGGGGGCAAGCGUUAUCCGGAUUUACUGGGUGUAAAGGGAGCGUAGACGGCAUGGCAAGCCAGAUGUGAAAGCCCGGGGCUCAACCCCGGGACUGCAUUUGGAACUGUCAGGCUAGAGUGUCGGAGAGGAAAGCGGAAUUCCUAGUGUAGCGGUGAAAUGCGUAGAUAUUAGGAGGAACACCAGUGGCGAAGGCGGCUUUCUGGACGGUGACUGACGUUGAGGCUCGAAAGCGUGGGGAGCAAACAGGAUUAGAUACCCUGGUAGUCCACGCCGUANACGAUGAAUACUAGGUGUCNGGUGGCA
rnacentral:rRNA from 1 species